rnacentral:lncRNA from 1 species
UAGCCAGCUCUCAUUGAUGAUUUCUCCCCUUCUUCCCCCUCUCUCUUGGAUGAAGCAACCAUAUAACUGACGAUAUGGAUUGAGUAGCGAGAUCAGUUACACUAGCCCGGGCAUACUAACUGUCUUAGCGCGAACAGUCUGUAGCCAAAACAGAGUAGAUAUUAAAAUGGAGUGGAGGAUGUGAAGAGAAAGGAAGUCAAUGACACCAG